CAAGAAAUCGGCGGGGGCUGCAAUGAUUCUGAAACAUGGGUUUUGUUCACGAGACUCGGGAGAAUCCAGCGACACCUUUGAAAUUUUAUUUCGAUCGUCGACAAGACCACAAAUCCCUCCGUUCUGGCCCCUUCAACCCUAAUCUAACAUUUAUUGUGGAUCUCUUGCUAACAAAAAAACAAAGGCUGCCAUUGGGUUUAUGUUGCGAAAAGCAAAAAGCCAACGGGAGAGAAAAAGCAAUGUUUAGUUGGCGGCUUAGUGGAGAAGUGACUGGUGGGUACCAACUGGUGUGUGUGAGGUGACUAGUGUGGGUAAAGCUGGUGAGUAGGAACAGAUGGAAGGCCCAGGUCAUGUGACGUCUAUCUUCAGCCCGUGCACCCUAGUGGUUGUGUGUGAUUGCGGUUCCGCUACUCGUGGCUUCUCAUGGCUAUUGCCAGGGUUGAGUUCUUCAAGCUCAGGAGAUGAAAAAGCAACCUAUCUCCAACAGGACCGGCGCAAUGAGGCAGGCAGUUGGCAGGCAGUUGGCAGGCAGUUCGCACACAGUCGACAGGCAUGUGACAUGUACGAGUGCAGUACUCGUACUGUACCGUCAUCGUACUGUUACUCAUCUGAUUGACUCGAUCGCUCCGGCUGCUGUUGCAAAAAUUGGUCAUGCUUUCAAAAGAGGCUGAGGUACAGUAGCGGCUGCUUAACCGCCUAUAAUGCAUCGUUCGUGUCCACGGCCUCAUUGCUUCAUUAGUACAUUCUGGAGACUCUGAUCUAAUGAUACUGCCCAUGACGAACUAGAUCAAAACGGUAUUUCCUUUUUGGAUCUGGAGAACGGGUGCAUCUAGAAAGGUGUUGGUUGCAAAGAUACCCACAUACAAGAGCAGCCAUAGUGACAACAAAACAAGGCUCUCUGAGGACUAGACCUCAUAAUCCGUCUGUCUCCGCAACUGUUUCUAGUACGCCUCCUUCCCCCAUCACUAACAACCGUCCAGCAAGCGUUAAGCUCCCAUACUACUGUUUAGAGAAUACCUUAGUGGAUGCUGUGGUCACAUCUAGACGCUGAAAGUUGAUACUAGAGCGCAUCUCCCUGUGAGAAAAGAAAUGUGUCUCUUGUCUUUAAUACCAGAGCUCCUGUGACAGAGAAAGACGCUAGAGUGCAGAUGUGGGGGGACAGUACAGACAUUGGAGUCCAAUAGGGCGAGGUAAGGCUAUUAGGACGCUGAAAAGUUCGUCAAAAGGCACUUGAUGUGAAAAUUGAAGGUACCUACUGUCAAUACCCUCCAUGUCGUCCACCUUUGUUCUUAUUCCGCAAAUCUGUGGAGCUACCACAAGUGAGUAUUGUGGAACUUGAUAUGUGGACUAAACGCGGUGAGAUGGAGGUAUAGAGAACUAAAUUAGCAAUGAACCUCUUCAGAUUCCCUCUUGGUUCAGCUAUUGUGUUUGAUGUGUCUGUUUGCGAUCUAAUGAGUGAAUAGGAGAGGCAUAUGGGAAUGCUUCUACCAGGGUCUAUUGUGUUAUAUGUAGCACAGUUACGACAUCUUUACGAUAUGACCCACCUUUUUCUAGGCUUUAUAUAUCACCCCUCCUCUGCUCUUCAUCUCUUGUCUACCCUCCUCUACAAGUCACCAUCUCAUCUACCCCGUAUAGCAGCCCGCCGCUAACGCAACGCACCCACUAGUGAUGCACUCCAGCGUGGAUCUAAGUGGUUUAAAUACAAACACCGUUUCGCUACAAUUAAUCAAGUGUCUAGUCUUCCCGGCUUGGUCUAACGCCAGUCCAGACAAUUAUCAGCUGAUUAUUUGCUUAGUGUGGAUAAGAGGGAGUGGGGGAAUGGGAUAUAGCAACAGAGGGAUCGAUAAUAUGACAUCCGGGGAAGUUUGAGACACCCAUUAGGUGUUUUUUUAAGUAGUCUUAUUGUUUGACAUGCUUCUAGAAGCUCAGGAACCAAGAGCACCCAGACCGAAGGAAACAACACACAAACACUCUCGCAAAUAGCUCACAGACCACAGGAAAAAUCAGGCCAUAAUUCAUAUCGCGAUGCAGUAGUCCAGCAGAAAAGUGCGUUAGCUGCCACUACUGGCGAAUCCUUACAUGAACUAGUGGUAGGCUAGUGUCCAGCUACUGCACAACUGCAGUGUGCAGGUAAACAUCCUCUUUUGAGGUCUUGGAGUUGAGAAGAGCGACAUUUGGGCUUCAACAAGAAGUGCUGAUGAAUAACACAAUGCGUGGAAGUCCAUUGUGAGUCUGGACUUGAUAUAUCUAUGAUGUUUGGUCAAACUGAUUUCAACUGGUAUCUAAUAGA
rnacentral:misc_RNA from 1 species